AUUCCCCGUGAACCGUCGUAGAUCUAGGGAAGGUAAAGCGAUUUGUCGUGUCGUGGAUUCCUCCGUCGUGCCGCGCUCGAUCCCCUUCCCCUCAUGCGCCGGUGCUGCUCUAUCCUGACGCGGUGGUGCGGGGGCCUAGAUCGGGCACUGCCCCUUGCUCGUGCAGAUCUCGCCACGGGGCGACCUCCUCCCUCCUCGCGGCGGCAGCCCACGUCCAGGCCGCGGGGACGCCGAUGGGUCGAUGGCGCGACCUCUUCCCUCCACGGUGGCUUGUCGCCGUCCGUCGGUACGUUGGGCCGCGUUCUCUCCGUUCCAAGCCGCGCCUACUCCGGGUUAGCAUGGAGAAGGUAGCUGGCGGUGCGGGACUGCGGGCACCUCAACGGCAGCUGACGCUGCCACCGGCCACUGGAGCCCACCCCCAAACGCACGGCUCAACCUGACCUGCACGGUUGCACCCGAGCCACGAAGCCGGCCAGACGCCCAAGCAUCCUACGACUCUGCCUGAAAUUGGCGGUGCAUCCGUGUGCUCCCCUACUGGAUCUAUGUGCCAGAGAUGCUCUGACAGCUUGACUACAGUUCAUUUGAAAUGAGGCAAAUACAUGAUUGCUUCUGUCAGUUAUCUAGUAUUAUUGGAAUUGUUCACGUGUGUAAAUUAUUCCUGAUUCCAUGUACUCUGUUUAACUUAAUAACUUCAUUUUACAAGGAUAUGUGCAUGUGAAAUUAUUGUAUUUAUUCGUAUGUAUGGAUGUCUUCUGCAUGAUGCUGUAUAAGGAAAACAUGGGAUAUUUUGAGUUUCUCAGUGCAAGAAAAGAAAUCUCGUGUUAUUAUAA